CACCGCUACCAUGACAAACCAUGGAUACGCACAACUUCGUAGGUGUUUCACUGGGGCGCCAACUGAAACAGCUGUAGGUAGAGGUGGCCGUCAGCAGCAGAAAAUCGCUAGAAUCGCAAGCCACUAGCCGUCAGUAGAGUAGUCAGUCAGUAUUAAUCGCGAUACGGAGUUAGUUGUGCGCGCUACGAGAAAGAUCGUCGAGUCCGAGACUCUUACUCCGACCACCUAAACACUCGAUCACUCACCAACCCACUAGCCAAACAUCAACCUAAUCCUCCUUAUUUUGCCUUUGUUUUUCUAUUUGUUUGGUCUUGCAACGCAGUCAUUUGACGCCGUGACGGUCAAACAGCUGGUGAACGGGUACAAGCCGGAUUCUACUAGUCAAGAGACGUUCUCACAGUGAAUUAAAUUUUUUUUUUUUAAUAAAACCAAAAACCACCGGGUAGUGUUCAGCAGACAAAAAAUGAAAAUCAACAUUUGUUGCCACGCGCACCGAUUACAAGAAAAUUAAAAUUCGUAGAUAUAUGUGGGCAUUUAUUUAACAGCGCCUUUGAAGUUCAAGACACUUAAAUGCAUAGCCAUUUGCAAAUAAAACAAAAAGAAAAAUGACAAAUCUGCAAUAGGUACAAAACAAUUAAGUAUUCCGUUUAAUUACUGGCUAACAACAGUUAAAAUAAUUAGUAAAACGUGGUGUAAUGUAUUCAAGCUGUUUCGCAUGCGCUGCUAACUACAUAUGUAUGUAUGUACAUUGAAUUAUUCACUAAAGUAGCGCGCUGAAGUCCGCGUUGUUUCACAUUUUCCACUGAAACGGUGAAUUCCCAUGCAGAAUAAUAAUUUGCAGCACACCAACAACAUUAAGUUCUCUGACAAGCACAUCACAGCCAACGUUCGCGUCCCGGAGUGCGGUUUAUAAUAGAGGGAAUCACGUUCGUAACAACCGUUAAGUGUGUUCCAGCCCAAGUCAUUUACCUUUAUACGCACCUAGGCCUUACAUAUACAAUAUCAAUAUCCAACAAAGCAGAUCUUUCAGUUUUACUUAUUUUCUUAAACAAGAAAUAAAUAAAAAAUAAAAUCGUGUAAAGGAUUGGUGUUUUUCUACAUAAAGAAUUAAGUUGGUAAUAAAUAAAUGUACAUGGUUUUAUGAACGCACCAGUGCUUAUUUUACAAAGCGAAUACAAGUACAUAUAUCAGCUGUGAAAGUUUUUGCUGCUACUACAAGUGUGAGACAG